AACUUUUGUAACAACUUACUUGGAAAUAUUGAAAUUGAUUGAAUAUUUCGCGAGUUCUUGCGAAUGUUUCGCUAUGCGUUGCAAUUCCAGACGCCGGACGCACUGUGGUGUCCUUUAGGGGAAUAAGUGAAUCGUUUAAGGGUUCUGCGUCAAGAUAGUUCAGAGAAAAUCGGUGCGUCGCUUGGGAGUGUCUUCUAUUUGAGAGUGCGGAGCACUAUAGAAAUCGAACUUGUCUUAUGAACGGGAAUGUUCGUACACAUCUACCGAUACAUGCGUUUCACUAAAAUAAAUCACGAAAACUACGUCUCGAAUAAGUCUCCGACUAACAUGCUACUCUGAAAAAGAGGCUGAUGUUUAACUAGUAUCAAGAUCGACAUUAACCACAAGAUAGAAUUUAUCAGGAAAAAGCCCUUCUGCACGAAGUGUUUUCUGUUUCAGAGGCUAUCUUAUCAUUUCAUAGGAGUCUAGCGCACGAGGUUUUCAAAAGCAUAUUAUAUCAUAAUAAGUUCGGUAACAAAAUCAAUUUUUCGAAUAUUAUCUUUAUCGAAAUAACAAAAAUAGUGGAUCAUCCUUUGAAACACCAUCGAGAGGUUUUCGAUCGAACGUUUUCUAAAAAUUAUCCAGAAGUAAAAGAAGCUUAUAAUAGUAUAUUCAAAAGUGUCAGCAGAAAUGAACUCAAGUCACUUAGAACAGCCCAAAUAUGGUCGGAUCGGGUCGUUGAGGAAAUGCCAUCUACUGCUCAAAAGACAAUCCUCGUUAUAACUGUAGCAACUAUAUUCUACUAUAUGUAAUUCUAAGCCCACCGUGCAAGGCGUUUAAACACAUCAAAAGCACUAAAAUGCGAUCCGCAUGAAGCGUAACGCAGUAGCAGGAACUGAGAAAUUCUAUUAACUUAUGAAAUUACAAGAGAAAUGAAAACUUAUAACAAGAAGUCAUUAAGUCACAAGGAAUUAAAAACUAAAAAGUCAAAUUACACUAAGGCUAAAAGAAAACAAAUAUAGUUGCCGUUGAGAAAAUCUGAAGAAAAAAAUUCUAUCACCUAAAAAGAGAAAAAAUAAUAUAACGCAGCUAACAGAAAAGUGACAGUGCGCAACGGCAGAAGGAAGGUAAAGAAAUAAACAAAUCAAUGUGUGCGUAAAUGUAUAGAAAGGAUAUGAGGCAUAAUUGUGAGGAAUUUAGAGGAAGAGGGAAAAAUUUUUAGUAGUGAAACUGCAAUGGUACACAUCUGUACAAGUGAAAACGCGCUCACGAAACUAUGCGACUCACAAACCCAUAUGACAGUUUUGAAGAGAAACGAUAUCAUAAAGGCUGCUCUCUCUUUGGUGGUCAAUGACUAUAGCUCCGUAGUGUGUGGUCGGUCUAAAAAUUUCGCUUAUAUUGAACACAAGUUCGAGUUUUAAAUAUAUGUAGUUUUUAGCUCUAACCGAAUUCUCAGAUAAUAAGAUAUUACUUCGAGAAUUAUAUUUAAGAAACUAGUAAUAAAGAGUAACAGUUGCGAAGUGGUAUUUAUUGAGGAUUGUGUACAUAGCAAAGCUGGAAGCACCGGAAAUCGGGAAAUUUACAUGUUAUUUUGAUUUUCAAACAAAAGUUGUAAACAUUAAAUACGACCUGAACUCGGAUUGUCUAAGGGUUUUUAAAUACCACCGUUAUAUGCCUGCUUUGUUCAUAUUUGUCCUAUUCUACAUAAUUUUUAACUGGUCUUGAGCUACUCCAAGAUAAUUGAAAUAGGGAAACUAACAUAGAAUAAAUCAUAAUCUCUUUACUUUAGCACUAGUAUUUUUGUUUGUUUAUUG